GGUGCGUGUGGCUUAGUUGGUUAAAGCGCCUGUCUAGUAAACAGGAGAUCCUGGGUUCAAAUCCCAGCAGCGCUU